CCUACGGGAGGCAGCAGUAAGGAAUAUUGGACAAUGGAGGCAACUCUGAUCCAGCCAUGCCGCGUGAAGGAAGAAGGCCCUAUGGGUUGUAAACUGCUUUUAUAUAGGAAGAAACCUUUUCACGUGUGAGAAGCUGACGGUACUAUAAGAAUAAGGACCGGCUAACUCCGUGCCAGCAGCCGCGGUAAU
rnacentral:rRNA from 1 species